rfam:Mesocricetus auratus contig037647, whole genome shotgun sequence.
AUACUUACCUGGCAGGGGAGAUACCAUAAUGUAGAAGCUGGUUUUCCCUGGGCAAAGCUAAUCCAUUGUACUCCAGAUGUUCUGAUCCCUGCAAUUUCCAUAAAUGUAUGAAACUUUACAGCAUAAUUUGUGGGGGACUGCAUUCACACCUUGCUAGU